GUCUUUUUGUUAAUAAUUUAAAGUCUAAUCUGCCCACUGAUAUAUUUAUUAAAGGGCUGCAGUAUUUUGACUGUACAAAGGUAGCAUAAUCAUUAGUCUUUUAAUUGGUGACUUGUAUGAAAGAUUGGAUGAAAUAUAAACUGUCUCUUUUAUAAAAAAAAAGUUGAAUUUAAUUUUUUAAUUAAAAAGUUAAAAUUAUUUAAAAAGACGAGAAGACCCUAUAGAGUUUUAUAAUUUAUUUUGUAAAUAUUUUUAUUUUUAUAUUUUUAUAAUUUUAAAUUAUUUUGUUGGGGUGAUAAAAAAAUUUAAUUAACUUUUUUUAAUAGUUUACAUUAAUAAGUGAUUAAAUGAUCCAAUUUUAUUGAUUAAAAGAAAAAAUUACCUUAGGGAUAACAGCGUAAUUUUUUUUUUUAGUUCAAAUAAAAAGAAAAGUUUGCGACCUCGAUGUUGGAUUAAGAUAAAAUUUAAAUGUAGAAGUUUAAAAUUUUGAUCUGUUCGAUCAUUAAAAUCUU
rnacentral:rRNA from 1 species